ACAGGUUGUUACAUCUCCAAAGAGGAUUCCAGCAGCAAAACUUCAUGGUCAGCUUGAAUGGAAGUUGUACAAAAAAAAUGCCUGGGCGUGCAAGUUUUAUGUGAAAAUGGUGCGCCGGCGGUUGGAAGAAUGGAAAAUCACUUGGCUGUCGGAUUUCAAGCACAUAGGGCAUUGCUUAUGUGGCGUACAGUUCAUAAAAACUUCCUGAAUUGAGUGUUUAUUUUCAGUUCUAUGCUUUGUUAGACUACUAGAGCUAGAGAUGCUAAAAUCCUAGAUGAUGCUAGAUGGUGUAAUGGCAUUAGUGCUGAAUUAUAUUACAAAAUGUACAAAUUGGAUAAGUAUAACAAAUCUCAAAUCUAUUAGAUUUGUAUGUUUUUAUUCAUAAUCAUCAGUCUACAAUCACCACUCUGCUCUGGCUUUCACUUUGCAGCCCUCGCUCAGGUCUUACUCUGCCUCGCCUAGCUGCCACUCUCUUCUAGAGUGAUUGUGCCCCACCAUGCGCAAGGUACUCACCAAGAACCAGAAGGUGCUCUUUGGACACCAUGGGAUGCUAAGGGCUGCAAGAAAUAAAAUAGUAUGUUGCAUUUUGCCUACAGGUAAGGAAACUUGUACCUUAUUUCUGCAAAGAUGUGCUCUAUUUUUUUUGUUCCAUGAGUAUUUGCAUUCCCUAUAGAAGCUGACUGGUUAAGAUAAAAGUUGAAGAAUUCAUACGAUAGUCGAUUGGAAACAUAUAUCUAGUAGUUCAUUUUUUCAUGCGCACAAUGGGAUAAAUUGAUGUAACACAAGACUUUACAACUUAGUGCUGUUGUUAUUAGAAUCAGGAGACUUGCUUUGUUACCGUACUUAGAGUUGCCGAUUGCUUACUAUAGUAAUAGCCAGGAAGGUUUGUAGUCAACUUAUAUGCAGUUGUAAUUAGUCGACUUAUGCUCCUUAAAUUGUUGUUCUUUGGUGACCAGUGAAUGGGCAAUUGACUCUUGCGUAUAUGGCUGAUCUAAUUGUUGGGAAAAUCUUCAGCACAUUGUAAUAUGAAAGGUUUUACCCUGCAAAAAAAAGCAUGAAAGAUUUUGAUUUUUUUUCUUAGGACUUCUUCAUACACUUUUUACUAUUGUAUUCACUAUAGUUUUCCUGGAUUGAACUGAUUUUUCGCUUGCAUUGUAGAUAUCAAGUCUUAGAGAAGGAAGUUUUGUAUGGCAGUCGACUCGCUGCUUCUCCGAUUCAGAUUCACAGUUAAAUAUCCCAUUCUUCUUUUUUCAGCCCUUGACAUUUUCUCCUACUUGCUAAUGCAGGAUGGAACACUUCCUGUUACAUGUAGUCUUCAGAACCUGUGCUGAAAUGGCGCUUCUUUGUUUGGAAAGUGUCUGAUUUUGCAAAACUUUUGGCUGUAUCGAAUAAUUUUCAAGUUGCUUCAGUGACAUCUGUUCCUGCUAAGACGUUUUAAAUGUGAACCUAAAUACUUGUUACCAUAAGUGACCAAACUUGUGGUGGUGUGCAAUGUUCACCUAACUUAAAACA